CUUUGGGGUUCCUGGUCAUCACGCAGAUCUCGCUGGGGCUCCAAAUGAAAGAACCUAGGGGGGAAACCCCCACUCAACUCCCAAUUCUGUGUGCAUCCAAGAAUCAGGAACCGAACA
rnacentral:pre_miRNA from 7 species